rnacentral:lncRNA from 1 species
AAAGUCUCUUCAUGAAACCAUCAGAGGUGGUUGCUGUUUCCUGCAGGAAUCCUAACAGACACAGUAGAUAACUUGACAGAACAAAUAUGCAGAUGAGUCAUCCAACUUGCAAAGAGGCCAUGGGAGGCACGAUGAGGUCAAGAAAAGAGCAAACUGACUUAGUGAGAGAGACCAAAGUUCCACUGCCAUCUUCCAGCUGUAUGACUUGCAUAUGCCAUUUAAAUGAAGUCUGGGUUUUUUUUAAUCUGAAAAAUUUGCCUUAUCUACCUCAAAAAAAGGGGAUGAAAAUGCAUCUUAAGCAUGAAGUGUUAUGCAAAUCUUGGUUGUGGUUAUUACUAUAAUUUCAUGUAUUGAUUUUAAACAAAAUGUACUUUGAGUUGGAAGGUAAAAAAUAUGAAAGACUCUAAGAAUGGGUAGGCGGGGAACCAAAUGAUCUGUGGCCACACUGAAGGUAGAAAAAAAGGAAGUGAAUUUGAACUAAAGAAGCAGAAGUUGAGAAAGUACCAAAGUCUUUGACUUUCAGAGUGACCGAACACCAGCAUAGUUCACCAGAGAAGAUCAGGAAUGCUGUCUCUUCUGAAAGGGUACCAAAAAGAGAGUAAACAGAUCAUUCUAUAUUGAUCAAGGAGUGGCAAACUGACAUCUGCAGAACAAAUCUGAUCCCCAGAUGAGCUCUAUUUGUUCAACAAAGAUGUUGUCGUUGUUACUUUUUUUAUUGAAUUUGAGUGCUUUGGCGCACCUAGUCUUUCUGCCACUGUAGGUCCCACGACUUUCUGUUGCCUUAUACUCAGCCCUUUAAUUAUUCAAGAUACCUGCAGAGCCCUAGAGGCCUUUGAGGUUAUCACUUCUACUGAAGGCCAGUGC